AGAGGGGUGACGAAAAGAGCCGAAGCUGUUGAAGGCGAAGAGCUGAGUGAGGGAAGAGAGCAGAGAAGACGAACGGCACACAGUCGAUGGAUCAGCUAAGGUAGGACAGGGACCAGUCAGAAUAGUAA
rnacentral:lncRNA from 1 species